rnacentral:rRNA from 1 species
GAUGAACGCUGGCGGCGUGCUUAAUACAUGCAAGUCGAGCGAACAGACGAGGAUCUUGUUCCUCUGACGUUAGCGGCGGACGUGUGAGUAACACGUGGAUAACCCACCUAUAAGACUGGGAUAACUUCGGGAAACCGGAGCUAAUACCGGAUAAUAUAUUGAACCGCAUGGUUCAAUAGUGAAUGCCGGUUUUGCGGUCAUUUCUAGAUGGAUCCGCGCUGCUUUAGCUAGUUGGUAAGUUAACGGCUUACCAAGGCAACGAUGCGUAGCCGACCGGAGAGGGUGAUCGGCGACACUGGAACUGAGACACGGUCCAGACUCCUACGGGAGGCAGCAGUAGGGAAUCGUCCGCAAUGGGCGAAAGCCUGACGGAGCAACGCCGCGUGAGUGAUGAAGGUCUUCGGAUCGUAAAACUCUGUUAUUAGGGAAGAACAAAUGUGUAAGUAACUAUGCACGUCUUGACGGUACCUAAUCAGAAAGCCACGGCUAACUACGUG